UACGUAGGGUGCAAGCGUUGUCCGGAAUUAUUGGGCGUAAAGAGCUCGUAGGUGGCUUGUCACGUCGGGUGUGAAAGCUUGGGGCUUAACUCCAGGUCUGCAUUCGAUACGGGCUGGCUAGAGGUAGGUAGGGGAGAACGGAAUUCCUGGUGUAGCGGUGAAAUGCGCAGAUAUCAGGAGGAACACCGGUGGCGAAGGCGGUUCUCUGGGCAUUACCUGACGCUGAGGAGCGAAAGUGUGGGGAGCGAACAGG
rnacentral:rRNA from 1 species